rnacentral:rRNA from 1 species
CCUACGGGAUGCAGCAGUGGGGAAUAUUGCACAAUGGGCGCAAGCCUGAUGCAGCCAUGCCGCGUGUAUGAAGAAGGCCUUCGGGUUGUAAAGUACUUUCAGCGGGGAGGAAGGCGAUAAGGUUGAUAACCUUGUCGAUUGACGUUACCCGCAGAAGAAGCACCGGCUAACUCCGUGCCAGCAGCCGCGGUAAUACGGAGGGUGCAAGCGUUAAUCGGAAUUACUGGGCGUAAAGCGCACGCAGGCGGUCUGUCAAGUCGGAUGUGAAAUCCCCGGGCUCAACCUGGGAACUGCAUUCGAAACUGGCAGGCUAGAGUCUUGUAGAGGGGGGUAGAAUUCCAGGUGUAGUGGUGAAAUGCGUAGAGAUCUGGAGGAAUACCGGUGGCGAAGGCGCCCCCCUGGACAAAGACUGACGCUCAGGUGCGAAAGCGUGGGGAGCAAACAGGAUUAGAUACCCGAGUAGUC